rnacentral:sRNA from 1 species
UAUGUGUAGCCCCUUUUCAUUGAGAGCAC